rnacentral:rRNA from 1 species
GACGAACGCUGGCGGCGUGCUUAACACAUGCAAGUCGAACGGUGAAGCGCCUUCCUUUUUGGUGGGUGUGGAUGAGUGGCGAACGGGUGAGUAACACGUGAGUAACCUGCCCCCUUCUUCUGGAUAACCGCAUGAAAGUGUGGCUAAUACGGGAUAUUCUGGGUCUGUCGCAUGAUGGGUCUGGGAAAGAUAUUGUUUCGGUGGGGGAUGGGCUCGCGGCCUAUCAGCUUGUUGGUGGGGUGAUGGCCUACCAAGGCGGUGACGGGUAGCCGGCCUGAGAGGGUGGACGGUCACACUGGGACUGAGACACGGCCCAGACUCCUACGGGAGGCAGCAGUGGGGAAUAUUGCACAAUGGGCGCAAGCCUGAUGCAGCGACGCCGCGUGAGGGAUGGAGGCCUUCGGGUUGUGAACCUCUUUCGCCAGUGAAGCAGGCCUGCCUCGUUUGUGGGUGGGUUGACGGUAGCUUGAUAAGAAGCGCCGGCUAACUACGUG